rnacentral:rRNA from 1 species
UACGUAGGGUGCAAGCGUUGUCCGGAAUUAUUGGGCGUAAAGAGCUCGUAGGUGGUUUGUCGCGUUGUUCGUGAAAACUCACAACUCAAUUGUGGGCGUGCGGGCGAUACGGGCAGACUGGAGUACUGCAGGGGAGACUGGAAUUCCUGGUGUAGCGGUGGAAUGCGCAGAUAUCAGGAGGAACACCGGUGGCGAAGGCGGGUCUCUGGGCAGUAACUGACGCUGAGGAGCGAAAGCGUGGGGAGCGAACAGG